rnacentral:rRNA from 1 species
AUUGAACGCUGGCGGCAUGCCUAACACAUGCAAGUCGAACGAGUGGCGGACGGGUGAGUAAUGUCUGGGAAACUGCCUGAUGGAGGGGGAUAACUACUGGAAACGGUCGCUAAUACCGCAUACCAUCGGAUGUGCCCAGAUGGGAUUGGCUAGUUGGUGGGGUAAAGGCUCACCUAGGCGACGAUCCCUAGCUGGUCUGGGAGGAUGACCAGCCACACUGGAACUGAGACACGGUCCAGACUCCUACGGGAGGCAUCAGUGGGGAAUAUUGCACAAUGGGCGCGAGCCUGGUACAGCCGUGCCGGGUGUAUGGAGAAGGCCUUCGGGUUGUAAGGUACUUUCAGCGGGGAGGCGUUACCCGCAGAAGAAGCACCGGCUAACUCCGUGCCAGCAGCCGCGGUAAUAC